UUGCUGCAUUUCUUUAAAUUCUAGUUUGAUUUUGGUUUAUCCGUGGAGAAAAAGCGGGUUUAACGUGUUUCCGCCAUGUUUUCCCGCUAAUCUGAGUCUUUUACCGAGUUAAUCUGGCGGAGACGGAUUUAACCAGAGACUGAUUCAGUAUCAAUGUCAGCUGAACAGCAUCACCAACAUGACGAGUCGUAAAACAAACGGCAGGAAGAGUGAAUGCUGCUCUGACUGGACUCAACUGGGCAUCCGGAACCUCCAUGAGUCCACUGGGCCCCUGGAAAAUAAUAGCUUGUUCUUGGAAGAAAAGGGGAUUUUCUUCAUUAUAUCGGUUCGGGUUCUGGUACAGUCACUUCUAGCAUCAGUUUCUGCUGCUUCAGCUGAAGAAGUACUGACUGCACCAGAACACAGCUGCAACAACAGCACCAACUCUGCUGGGCCAGAGGAAGGGAACACCCCUCUUUCCCUCCCCACCACCCGUCAGCCAAUGAUAAUGUUGUGACCACCAUGAUUUAUGAUGAUAAAAAAAAUAUAUAGAGAGAUAAAUUAAAGACCAACUAAAUACAAAGAUGAAUAUGUAAA